GAUGAAGAACGCAGCGAAAUGCGAUAAGUAGUGUGAAUUGCAGAAUUCAGUGAAUCAUCGAAUCUUUGAACGCACAUUGCGCCCCUUGGUAUCCCGAGGGGCAUGCCUGUUCGAGCGUCAUUUCACCACUCAAGCCUGGCUUGGUGUUGGGCGACGUCCCCUUUAGGGACGCGCCUCGAAACGCUCGGCGGCGUGGCACCGGCUUUAAGCGUAGCAGAAUCUUUCGCUUUGGAAGUCGGGGCCCCACCUGCCGGAAUACCUACUCGUAAGGUUGACCUCGGAUCAGGCAGGGAUACCCGCUGAACUUAAGCAUAUCAAUAAGCGGAGGA
rnacentral:misc_RNA from 1 species